AAGAAACCCAUAUCAAAACCUUGCAAGAAAAAUAUAGAAAACAUCAAGAAUUUGAGCAUGGACCUUAAAAUUCCAUGAACUAACUUUAGCCUCAGAUGAGGCACAGAUUCAUUUCAAUUUUCACUUAUUCAUAUUCAGCAGCAUAUAUACACAGGAAAUUCACACCGUUUUUCAAUACACACACACUGUUUUCUGAACAAAACUAGGUGUUUGAUGGGCAUAAUAACAAGUGUAUAUAGUUUAUUAGUAUUUCACUAAGAAUCAUCCCCUCCUGCGAUAAUCAGCACCUGGUUCAUGCUCCUUAUACCUCUCCUGCACCGAUUGAAUAUCUCCAUCGCCACUAGAAGCCUCUUCCAAGCCGUCAGACGUCUUUUCCGCAGUUUGGCUAGCCCCACCUUGAUCUACGACAUGGGUUGUUUCCUGCGCCUUUGCCUUCUCCUCUGCAACUCUUCUGAACUCAUCAGCUAGCGAAGGUGCUCUCUCUUCUACUCCUUGCCCGUGACUUUGUGUGUUGUACUGAUUAUAUCCCUGUAAGGCCAAACUCAUCCAUAUGAGCAAAUGAGAAAUUAUAAAUUAAAAAGGAACUUAGGAUAUGUACCUUGAUGGGGCUGUAGAGAAAUGGUGUUGAAGGCCUCGCAGGCAUUAACGGCCACGAAAGGUUGCAGAAAAGCAAGAGACGGCGACCCAUCGGGUAAAGAUUAGUCUUGCAAGAAAUUUGGAGAUUGAAGGGACAGAAAAGCUGCGUGUGCAAAGGAUUAAAAAAGAGGGUAAUCUGCUAAUGAGAGAGUGUGCACGUGUCUUCCAGUGGCAGCAGCUCUGUCGGCACGUAGCGCUAUUUGCGUUUGCCAGGCAUGCAAUGAUUUUCUGUAAUUUGUGUAAGG
rnacentral:misc_RNA from 1 species